CGUGCCAGCAGCCGCGGUAAUACGUAGGGUGCGAGCGUUAAUCGGAAUUACUGGGCGUAAAGCGUGCGCAGGCGGUUAUGCAAGCCAGAUGUGAAAUCCCCGGGCUCAACCUGGGAAUGGCAUUUGGGACUGCAUAGCUAGAGUAUGGCAGAGGAGACUAGAAUUCCUGGUGUAGCAGUGAAAUGCGUAGAUAUCAGGAGGAAUACCGAUGGCGAAGGCAGGUCUCUGGGUUAAUACUGACGCUCAUGCACGAAAGCGUGGGGAGCAAACAGGAUUAGAUACCCUGGUAGUCCACGCCCUAAACGAUGUCGACUGGUUGUUGGGAGAUUUAUUCUCUUAGUAACGAAGCUAACGCGUGAAGUCGACCGCCUGGGGAGUACGGUCGCAAGAUUAAAACUCAAAGGAAUUGACGG
rnacentral:rRNA from 1 species